rnacentral:misc_RNA from 1 species
GCUGAAGAACGCAGCGAAAUGCGAUAAGUAAUGUGAAUUGCAGAAUUCAGUGAAUCAUCGAAUCUUUGAACGCACAUUGCGCCCCCUGGUAUUCCGGGGGGCAUGCCUGUUCGAGCGUCAUUUCACCACUCAAGCCUCGCUUGGUAUUGGGCAACGCGGUCCGCCGCGUGCCUCAAAUCGACCGGCUGGGUCUUCUGUCCCCUAAGCGUUGUGGAAACUUUCGCUAAAGGGUGUUCGGGAGGCUACGCCGUAAAACAACCCCAUUUCUAAGGUUGACCUCGGAUCAGGUAGGGAUACCCGCUGAACUUAAGCAUAUCAAUAAGCGGAGGA